UAUAGAGGUCCCGAGCGUUGUUCGGAUUCACUGGGCGUAAAGGGUGCGUAGGUGGCAUGUUAAGUUUGAUGUGAAAGCUCAGGGCUCAACCCUGAAAUGGCAUUGAAUACUAGCGUGCUGGAGGUUUGGAGGGGGGGACUGGAAUUCUCGGUGUAGCAGUGAAAUGCGUAGAUAUCGAGAGGAACACCAGUGGCGAAGGCGAGUCCCCUGGACAACACCUGACACUGAGGCACGAAAGCUAGGGGGAGCAAACAGG
rnacentral:rRNA from 1 species